rnacentral:rRNA from 1 species
UAAAAUGGGGAUAGUUGAGCAAGCCUGAUCCCGUCUGGUCUUGGAAGCUAAGCACGGUCGGGCCUGGUUAGUACUUAGAUGGGAGACCACUUAGGAAGAACAGGUGCUGUAGGCA